GACAGAGGGUGCAAACGUUGUUCGGAAUUACUGGGCGUAAAGCGCGUGUAGGCGGCAAUAUAAGUCGGAUGUGAAAUCCCGCGGCUCAACCGUGGAAGUGCACCCGAAACUGUAUCGCUAGAGUCCCGGAGAGGAUGGUGGAAUACUUGGUGUAGAGGUGAAAUUCGUAGAUAUCAAGUGGAACACCGGUGGCGAAGGCGGCCAUCUGGACGGUGACUGACGCUGAGACGCGAAAGCGUGGGUAGCAAACGGG
rnacentral:rRNA from 1 species